CAAAAAAUAGUUUAUUAAAAUAUUAAUUUUGGAGAUUAAUGAUAAGAAAUUUUUUUCUUUUUUUUGA
rnacentral:tRNA from 1 species